rnacentral:rRNA from 1 species
AGAACGAACGCUGGCGGCAUGCCUAAUACAUGCAAGUCGAACGAAGGCUUCGGCCUUAGUGGCGCACGGGUGCGUAACGCGUGGGAAUCUGCCCCUUGGUUCGGAAUAACAGUUGGAAACGACUGCUAAUACCGGAUGAUGACGAAAGUCCAAAGAUUUAUCGCCAAGGGAUGAGCCCGCGUAGGAUUAGCUAGUUGGUGAGGUAAAGGCUCACCAAGGCGACGAUCCUUAGCUGGUCUGAGAGGAUGAUCAGCCACACUGGGACUGAGACACGGCCCAGACUCCUACGGGAGGCAGCAGUAGGGAAUAUUGGACAAUGGGCGAAAGGCCUGAUCCAGCAAUGCCGCGUGAGUGAUGAAGGCCUUAGGUUGUAAAGCUCUUUACCCGAGAUGAUAAUGACAGUAUCGGAGAAUAAGCCCCGGCUAAACUCCGUGCCCAGCAGCCGC